rnacentral:tRNA from 1 species
GUGGAGUAUCUUUAUAGCACUGUUCAGUAAACACAUAGAUAUGUUGUUUAAUUAUGGGAUGGAACAUUUUGAUGAGUCUUUUGUUGAAGGGAGUGGGUUAAUUUCACGAGAGGAGAGUGGAGGUAUCACUUAUAAUUUUUGAAAGCACUGUUUUGAUAUUUUCUUUGUUGAUAAUUUGAUAGGGGGUGAAUUGUUCACCUGCCUCUUUAGUCUAGUGUCUUCUGUAUUGUUCUCUGUGGAUUGUACUGUAAACAGUAGAUUGUACUGUAAAUAUUGUAAACAAACAUUUUUGAUAAUUAAAAAAAAAAAAAAAAUAAAAAAUCACGUUCGCUUUACACGCGAAAGGUCCUCGGUUCGAAACCGGGCGGAAACAGAGCUCUUUGACACGUGCAGUAGGUGCUGUACUUUCAACAAAGAGUUGUUAUUUUCAUGAAUUCUGUAUUUUGGAAAUUCGAAUACGUGCCAUGAAUAUCUGUAAAAUUCGGUUUAGUCCUCGCAGCUAAAUGUAGCAGCAGUUUCUGUAGUGUAGUGGUUAGCACGUUUGUUCACACGCGAAAGGUCCCUGGUUCGAAACCGGGCGGAAACAACGCUCAUUGACACAUUCUGAAGUACCAUAGUGGUAACAGAAAAUUUCAUGAAUUCUUUAUUUUGGAAAUUCGAAUACGUGCCAUGAAUAUUUUUAAAAUUCGGGUUACUCCUUGCAGAAAAAUCAAGCAGCAGUUUCUGUAGUGUAGUGGUUAUCACGUUAGCUUAACACGCGAAAGGUCCUCAGUUUGAAACCAGGAGGAAACACUGCUCUUUGACAUGUGCAGUAGGUACUGUACUAUUAACAGAGAAUAGUUAUUUUCAUAAAUGCCUAAUUUUGGAAAUUUGAACACGUGCCAUGAAUAUCUGUAAAAUUCGGUUUACUCCUUGCAGAUAAUUGUUGAAGCAGUUUCUGUAGUGUAGCGGUUAUCACGUUCGCUUAACACGCGAAAGGUCCUCGGUUCGAAACCGGGCGGAAACAGAGCUCUUUGACACGUGCAGUAGGUACUGUACUUUCAACAAAGAAUUGUUAUUUUCAUGAAUUCUGUAUUUUGGAAAUUCGAAUACGUGCCAUGAAUAUUUUUAAAAUUCGGUUUACUCCUUGCAGCUAAUUGUAGCAGUAGUUUCUGUGGUGUAGUGGUUAUCACGUUUGCUUCACACGCGAAAGGUCCCUGGUUCGAAACCGGGUGGAAACAACGCUCAUUGACACAUUCUGAAGUACCAUAGUGGUAACAGAAAAUUUCAUGAAUUCUUUAUUUUGGAAAUUCGAAUACGUGCCAUGAAUAUUUUUAAAAUUCGGUUUACUCCUUGCAGAAAAAUCAAGCAGCAGUUUCUGUAGUGUAGUGGUUAUCACGUUCUCUUUACACGUGAAAGGUCCUCAGUUUGAAACUGGGAGGAAACAGUGCUCUUUGACACGUGCAGUAGGUACUGUACUAUUAACAGAGAAUAGUUAUUUUCAUAAAUGCCUAAUUUUCGAAAUUUGAACACGUGCC